rnacentral:rRNA from 1 species
AGCGAACGCUGGCGGCAGGCUUAACACAUGCAAGUCGAACGCAUCCUUCGGGGUGAGUGGCAGACGGGUGAGUAACACGUGGGAACGUACCUUUUUGUUCGGAAUAACUCAGGGAAACUUGAGCUAAUACCGGAUACGCCCUUAGGGGGAAAGAUUUAUCGCAGAAAGAUCGGCCCGCGUCUGAUUAGCUAGUUGGUGAGGUAAAGGCUCACCAAGGCGACGAUCAGUAGCUGGUCUGAGAGGAUGAGCAGCCACACUGGGACUGAGUCACGGCCGAGACUCCUACGUGAGGCAGCAGUGGGGAAUAUUGGACGAUGGGCGCAAGCCUGAUCCAGCCAUGCCGCGUGAGUGAUGAAGGCCCUAGGGUUGUAAAGCUCUUUCGGCGGGGACGAUAAUGACGGUACCCGCAGAAGAAGCCCCGGCUAACUUCGUGCCAGCCGCCGCCGUAA